GGGGAAUUUUCCGCAAUGGGCGAAAGCCUGACGGAGCAAGACCGCGUGGGGGAGGAAGGCUCUAGGGUUGUAAACCCCUUUUCUUUGGGAAGAAGUACUGACGGUACCAAAGGAAUCAGCCUCGGCUAACUCCGUGCCAGCAGCCGCGGUAAUACGGAGGAGGCAAGCGUUAUCCGGAAUGAUUGGGCGUAAAGCGUCCGCAGGUGGCCAUGUAAGUCUGCUGUCAAAACCCAGGGCUCAACUCUGGUCAGGCAGUGGAAACUACAAAGCUAGAGUUCGGUAGGGGCAGAGGGAAUUCCUAGUGUAGCGGUGAAAUGCGUAGAUAUUAGGAAGAACACCAGUGGCGAAGGCGCUCUACUGGGCCUGUACUGACACUGAGGGACGAAAGCUAGGGGAGCGAAAGGGAUUAGAUACCCCUGUAGUCA
rnacentral:rRNA from 1 species